UACGUAGGUGGCCAGCGUUAUCCGGAAUUAUUGGGCGUAAAGAGCGCGCAGGUGGUUGAUUAAGUGUGAUGUGAAAGCCCACGGCUUAACCGUGGAGGGUCAUUGGAAACUGGUCGACUUGAGUGCAGAAGAGGGAAGUGGAAUUCCAUGUGUAGCGGUGAAAUGCGUAGAGAUAUGGAGGAACACCAGUGGCGAAGGCGGCUUCCUGGUCUGUAACUGACACUGAGCGCGAAAGCGUGGGGAGCAAACAGGAUUAGAUA
rnacentral:rRNA from 1 species